CAGGCUGCAACUCGCCUGCACGAAGCCGGAGUUGCUAGUAAUCGCGGAUCAGAAUGCCGCGGUGAAUGCGUUCCCGGGUCUUGUACACACCGCCCGUCACACCAUGGAAGUUGGGGGUGCCCAAAGCCGGCAGGGAAAUAUGCUGUCUAAGGCAAAACCGAUGACUGGGGUGAAGUCGUAACAAGGUAGC
rnacentral:rRNA from 1 species